ACGGCUGCCAACCACCCGUCGAAAGUUAGACAUCGUUUUAACGCGCCUCGAGACAACAAGGAGCGACUUAUACGCGACCACGUUGGAUAGAGGAAGACGGUACCAAGAGCGCACCCAGCCGUACUUGACUCGUUCCCUUACACUCGAUCGCCCGCAGGGUUACUAUUUUGGUCCUUUCUUUGCUUGUAUUUUCACCAUUCUUUCGCACCUUUAUCGUUAAACAAACUUACCGAAACAUGUCACAGUUAGAGCUAGAUCCUCAAUUUACUCAAGGUUUACAUCUUCUACAUUCCACUAAUAAAGAUUCAGCAGAACAGCUGCAAGUACUUUUAGACGAGGCGAUUAAACAAAAGUAUGGACCAUCGAAAAUGUUGUCAAAUGUCUUGCACAAAAAGUAUAUGAUGGAGGAACCGGUGUUAAGCGACCAUAGCAGCAGCAGUAGUAGUAAGAAAAGCAAAAGCUCUGGAUCCUCUUCUAAACAUUCGAGUAAAUCCAGUAAAAAUAGUUCACCUGUGAAUCUGCCAACACGUGACACACCACCAGAUAUUAUGCAGUCCGAUAACACGUUGGCAUUAGAAAUAUUAGAAGAUGAUCUGACUUGUGUUAUAUGCAAAGGAAUGGAUGUUGGAGCUAGGAAUAGACUUGUAGAGUGCUUGGAAUGUCAUUCUUUGUAUCAUCAAGAGUGUCAUGUUCCACACAUUCUAGACUCGCAAAUAGAUGUUCCAGGACUCGUGUGGUAUUGCUCAAAUUGUUCAAAAUCUCAGAUCUCAAAAGAAAGGAGCUCACCAAAAACAGUGAUAGAAAGCAAAUCCAAGGAACAAAAAAAAUCUAAUUCAAGCAGUGGAAAUAAAGUGACACCUAAUAUUCAUAUAAUAAGUGCAGACAGAAGAUUAAAAGACAUGAUGAAGAAAGCAAAACAGGAUAAACGAAGUACAAAUAAUAGUCAAAGUUCAAAGAACUCGAACAGUUUGCCAGCACUAUCUUCAACGAAAUCUCAGGAAAAGUCCCUAUUAUACAAAAUAAAAUCGGGUGUAGAAUGAAAUUCUUCUACGUAAAAUUAUCGAGACAAUAUUUUAUAAUAUAGAAGAAGUUUAAGUGAUUGUUAUAAUACCAACUUUGUGGAAUGACUAUACACGAGUAAUUAAUCGAUGGAAAAGAGUAGCAAUUACAAUGAACGUCGGUAAUAUAGUCAACAGAAAACGAUUCAGUUGCUGCAUGCCAAAGAGCAUACGAAUAAUCUUUAAACAAGAAAUAUCAACUUUAUAUAUUCAGAGCCACACAUGCAGCGUUUCAAGGAGAAAUGACACAAUCAUCCCCCCAUCGUUCCCGAAGCCUUAACAAAGAAUAAUUUUAACUCGACGCAACGCUCGGACCCGUCUAUACUACGAAGCAUGAUAUACUAAUCGACUUGUAAACCGCUGAACAUCCCUUCAAUUUAAUUACAAUACAGUACAUACGUUGAAUGCAGAAUUGACAAGCUUUUCAGAUGGAUGGAGUCAACUGUCGAGCGUAUACGAAAUAUCGGGAAAUUCUAUUACGUUAUUAAAGCAUCACCAUGCUUCAACAGAUGAGAAAUCAAUGUUUCAUUGUUUUCCGAAAUAAUAGGCGACUCGAUGAUUUAAUCGAACCUUACGAAUGAUCGAAACUCUUUACAGAGAGCUUUCGGGCACAUUCCAGAAUCAGUGAAUUCGUCGUCUUUCUCAAUUGCGUACGAUUCCUUUCAAUUCUUCAGAACUGUAACAAACGCAGCAGAAUUUCAUCGAAAUUUGUAUGUGCGUACAUGCGUUAAAAAAUGCAGCCUUGUUGCAUUGGCUUUCCAUCGAAUUGCGCUCGAACGUAUGUUGUACCUUGAUGUACCGUACAAUAUACAUACUUUGUGUAAACCUCUGAAACGAUUAUUUAAAAAUGUACCACAUAUACUCGUUAGAAAUCUUUCGUGUUCUGAUUUUCUUGAUAAGUAAUUUGAUGUAUACACAAAUAUGUGCGCACGUAGACGUACGUCAAUCUGCACUAUACGCAAUGUGUAAAUUGAAAAUUUAUUUAUGCCCUUCACAGCAAUUGACAUUGUGGGUGUAAUAGUUUUUUUUAAAGUAUAAGUCAUCUCUGCGUAUUAUUCUGUAAUGUAAAAGUAUUACAUUAAUAUAAGGAAAUGCCAAUAGAGACAUAUAAAACAUUUUUGGAAUGUAUACGUAUCAUCUCCACAAUUUCAAAAUUUGAAAUACAUCUGUUUCGGUAUAUACAAUUGUCUAAAGACGUUUAAACAAACGAUCGAAAUCCAAUUAGGGAACGUAACAUUGAAAGUUAAGACAAUAGCAAUUAUUUAAGAUCAUCGUCGUUGAGAGGUGCUCUUAAAUAAGAGUAAUUAAUAAUAUUAAAACUAACAUUUAACAUUAUUUAAAUCCGUAAUGUUCUCGUUAUAAUUAAGACGACUUUAUAUUUUUACUUUGACUACACCUUGUGGGCAUUAAAGUAAGAUAACUUAAUAGUGGAAUUAAAAAAAACUUUAAUGCAGUUUACAACUAAACUGUGUAUAAAGGAUACAUUAUUUGCACAGUACUUUAAUUUAACAUAAAUAUUUGCGUCGCAAGAUUUGCGAAUAUCAGACUUAUAGAAACAAGUACGUUACUUUGAAUGAAUGGUAAAUAUAGUUUCACAGAUUACAAUCUCAUUCAAUGUAGGAAGACUAUUCAACCGUACAAUACAAUCAAAAGGAAUAUAAGUUUCGUGUAAACACUAUUCAUGAGACCAUUCUAU